UACUCUUUGCCCCUUUCAUAUAUGUUCCUCAUGGACUGGUUCUCCACGCAGUGGCCGCACCCGCGCCUUAUUAUGGCUACCUGUGCACAAUCACCGAGCCAGUGCGCAGCCAAACCUCGUACCUGCCUCCGGACAACGUUUGUGACUACCUGUUUUACGACUCACUCUACAAGAACGGCAAGAACUCCCUCAUUGCUGGCUUUAAUAAACUGGAAGGCGGCGUUCAGUACUUCAUUGGUCAGGCGUCCAAGUACAACAAGACGAAGUUCGGUUUCUCCUUCGCGCCCGAGAGCGUUCUCUUGAAGACAGACUACAAGGACCCUACAUUCUUCGCUUAUAUCGACGCCAUCUGGGGCUACAAUAUCUCCCAUUUCGGCUUCCUUGACCUCCACAGGCAAUUCGCAACCAAGUCAGUGGUCACAGAUGCCCUUUCAGUGCUCAAGGCCGUGUACCUGCACCUGAAACCGAAAAGCUCAGCAACAAGGCCUUCCUACUACGUGUUGGGCUUGUCUCUGGACACACCGAGUGACUAUUCCAUUGUGGGUUUGAUGAAGUGAGUCACACUAAAGAGGCCAUAUUAGGCCAUAUUUCGUGGCUGGC